rnacentral:rRNA from 1 species
GACGAACGCUGGCGGCGUGCCUAAUACAUGCAAGUCGAACGCUGAAGGAGGAGCUUGCUUCUCUGGAUGAGUUGCGAACGGGUGAGUAACGCGUAGGUAACCUGCCUGGUAGCGGGGGAUAACUAUUGGAAACGAUAGCUAAUACCGCAUAAGAGUAGAUGUUGCAUGACAUUUGCUUAAAAGGUGCAAUUGCAUCACUACCAGAUGGACCUGCGUUGUAUUAGCUAGUUGGUGGGGUAACGGCUCACCAAGGCGACGAUACAUAGCCGACCUGAGAGGGUGAUCGGCCACACUGGGACUGAGACACGGCCCAGACGCCUACGGGAGGCAGCAGUAGGGAAUCUUCGGCAAUGGACGGAAGUCUGACCGAGCAACGCCGCGUGAGUGAAGAAGGUUUUCGGAUCGUAAAGCUCUGUUGUAAGAGAAGAACGAGUGUGAGAGUGGAAAGUUCACACUGUGACGGUAUCUUACCAGAAAGGGACGGCUAACUACGUG